rnacentral:tRNA from 1 species
GCCCUCUUGGCUCAGUUGGCUAGAGCGCAGGUCUCAUAAUCCUGAGGUCGCAAGUUCGAGCCUUGCAGAGGGCA